rnacentral:rRNA from 1 species
UUUUAUGAGAGUUUGAUCCUGGCUCAGGACGAACGCUGGCGGCGUGCCUAAUACAUGCAAGUCGAACGCUUCUUUUUCCAMCGGAGCUUGCUCCACCGGAAAAAGAAGAGUGGCGAACGGGUGAGUAACACGUGGGUAACCUGCCCAUCAGAAGGGGAUAACACUUGGAAACAGGUGCUAAUACCGUAUAACAAUCAAAACCGCAUGGUUUUGAUUUGAAAGGCGCUUUCGGGUGUCGCUGAUGGAUGGACCCGCGGUGCAUUAGCUAGUUGGUGAGGUAACGGCUCACCAAGGCCACGAUGCAUAGCCGACCUGAGAGGGUGAUCGGCCACAUUGGGACUGAGACACGGCCCAAACUCCUACGGGAGGCAGCAGUAGGGAAUCUUCGGCAAGGGACGAAAGUCGGACCGAGCAACGCGGGGUGAGUGAAGAAGGUUUUCGGAUCGUAAAACUCUGUUGU